AAAGGAAUAGACGGGGACCCGCACAAGCGGUGGAGCAUGUGGUUUAAUUCGACGCAACGCGAGGAACCUUACCAGAUCUUGACAUCCUCAGAAGGAAGUGGAAGCACUUUUGUGCCUUCGGGAACUGAGAGACAGGUGGUGCAUGGCUGUCGACAGCUCGUGUCGUGAGAUGUUGGGUUAAGUCCCGCAACGAGCGCAACCCCUAUCGUUAGUUACCAUCAUUAAGUUGGGGACUCUAGCGAGACUGCCUGCGAAGAGCAGGAGGAAGGUGGGGAUGACGUCAAGUCAUCAUGCCCCUUAUGAUCUGGGCUACACACGUGCUACAAUGGUUGGUACAAAGAGGAGCGAAGCGGUGACGUGGAGCGAAUCUCGAAAGCCAAUCCCAGUUCGGAUUGAAGUCUGCAACUCGACUUCAUGAAGUUGGAAUCGCUAGUAAUCGCAAAUCAGCAAUGUUGCGGUGAAUACGUUCUCGGGUCUUGUACACACCGCCCGU
rnacentral:rRNA from 1 species